UACGAAGGGUGCAAGCGUUACUCGGAAUUACUGGGCGUAAAGGGUGCGUAGGUGGUUUGUUAAGUCUGCUGUGAAAUCCCCGGGCUCAACCUGGGAAUGGCAGUGGAUACUGGCAAGCUAGAGUGCGGUAGAGGGUAGUGGAAUUCCCGGUGUAGCAGUGAAAUGUGUAGAGAUCGGGAGGAACACCAGUGGCGAAGGCGGCUACCUGGACCAGCACUGACACUGAAGCACGAAAGCGUGGGGAGCAAACAGG
rnacentral:rRNA from 1 species